UCUAAGCGGGAAACUCGCCUUAAGAUGAGAUAUCCCUGGGGACUAGAUCCCCUUGAAGGGUCGUUCGAGACCAGGACGUUGAUAGGUCAGGUGUGUAAGCGCAGUAAUGCGUUCAGCUAACUGAUACUAAUUGCCCGUAAGGCUUGAUCCUAUAACA
rnacentral:rRNA from 1 species